rnacentral:tRNA from 1 species
AGGGAUAUAGCUCAGUAGUAGAGUGUGUGCUUGGCAUGCAUGAGGUCCUAGGUUCAAUUCCUGGUGCCUCCA